rnacentral:rRNA from 1 species
AACGAACGCUGGCGGCAUGCCUAACACAUGCAAGUCGAACGAGACCUUCGGGUCUAGUGGCGCACGGGUGCGUAACGCGUGGGAACCUGCCCUUAGGUUCGGAAUAACUCCCCGAAAGGGGUGCUAAUACCGGAUAAUGUCUUCGGACCAAAGAUUUAUCGCCUUUGGAUGGGCCCGCGUUGGAUUAGCUAGUUGGUAGGGUAAAAGCCUACCAAGGCGACGAUCCAUAGCUGGUCUGAGAGGAUGAUCAGCCACACUGGGACUUAGACACGGCCCAGACUCCUACGGGAGGCAGCAGUGGGGAAUAUUGGACAAUGGGCGAAAGCCUGAUCCGGCAAUGCCGCGUGAGUGAUGAAGGCCUUAGGGUUGUAAAGCUCUUUUACCCGGGAUGAUAAUGACAGUACCGGGAGAAUAAGCUCCGGCUAACUCCGUG